AUACUUACCUGGCAGGGGAGAUACCAUGAAGGUGGUUUUCCCAGGACGAGGCUUAUCCAUUGCACUUCGGAUGUGCUGACCCCUGCGAUUUCCCCAAAUGUGGGAAACGCGACUGCAAAAAA
rnacentral:snRNA from 1 species